CCUAGCAUAUAGCAGGUCUUCAAUAAGUAUUUGUUGAAAGAAUAACCGAACCAACAAGUCUUUAUUUGAGCACUUGUUAUGUGGAGG
rnacentral:pre_miRNA from 1 species